rnacentral:ribozyme from 14 species
AUUUUCUUAUCUUCUUUUUUUUAUUCUUUACCUAAAAUGAAAAUAAUAAAGAAGAAGACUUGGUGUUACAUUUUUAUUUAUCCUUUUCGU